GCAUCUAAGCGCGAAGCGAGCCCUGAGAUGAGUCUUCCCUGACUGUUUAACUGUCCUAAAGGGUUGUUCGAGACUAGAACGUUGAUAGGCAGGGUGUGUAAGCGUUGUGAGGCGUUGAGCUAACCUGUACUAAUUGCCCGUGAGGCUUAACCAUACAACACCCAAGGGGUUUUGUA
rnacentral:rRNA from 1 species